AAGACUUGGUAAUUAUAAAGAAAACAAUUUGAAGACGUAGAAAAACAAGUUUGAAGACUUGAAGUGUUCAAAAGAUACAUUUUGUUUCCAAAAGUGUUUCUCCUCUCCCUUAUCCUCUCGACUCUCUUCUUCAUCUUUCAACCGAAAUUUCUUUUUUCUCCAGUGACCGGCGCGUGGCGGCUCCGUUAGCGCCACCGCCGGUCCCGUUAGUUUCCCUUGCUCCGGAUCUAGUAGAUCUCUUGGUUAAUUUCGUUUAGGGCUCAUUUUUUUAGUCAAGCGGAGGGUGCUGUCUCGAGGAGCUCGCGUCGGGUCACGGUUUCGGUGGAGGUCGUGGGACUAUGGUCAAGUCAGCCGCCGCUGAAGCUUGGUGGUUCCUUUUCGGGUCGUUUCUCAGAUUGUGUUUCAAGUGGUGGUGGAUACAGUGAAUGCUUCUCUUCGUUUCCUUGCCGUGAGUGUCUCAGGAAGGUUUCGGUGAGCAAGGCCUCGUUUUUGUGUGGUUUUAGCUGGACUUCUAUUUAGGGGUAUGUGGGCGUAAGUGCGCUGCAUCCAUAUCCGAAGGUGUGUGGACCGAGAAGUGAUCUUUAUUAGCGGAUUGUGAAGUCUUGAGUUUCUUGGGCGUUAUCGUUUGGCGGGCUUGUGCAGCAACGAUAAGUCGUGGUGUAUUGGGUUCUAGAGGUGGAGGUUAUCGGGUGGCGAUAUGUGAUUUGCAGCGAUAAUUCCCUUUCAUUGGCAUCUACUAAGUUUUAUUAUCUGCCGAGUCAAUUGCUUCUCAUCCUAGUGUAGUUGUUAAUCGUUCUUCCUUGGUUUAGAUGUGGUUCGAGUUAUUAUGCUUUUUAUGUAAGUCUUAGUCGCCCCUGCGUGGGUAUAAGUCGCCCCUGCGUGGGUUCUAGCGGCCGCCUCCUGUGGGCUUUUGAGUCUGGAAAAAUGUUUGGUUGUCCGCCAGUUAUUGUAGUAAGUCGAGUAUCUAAUGGAAUGAAUUUCAAUUUGGGAAAAAAAAAAAGAA